rnacentral:rRNA from 1 species
CCUACGGGUGGCAGCAGUCGAGAAUCAUUCACAAUGGAGGCAACUCUGAUGGUGCAACGCCGCGUGGAGGAUGACGGUCCUAGGAUUGUAAACUCCUGUCAUUGGGGAGUAAGACUUAAGCGUUAAGAGCGUUUAAGUUUGAUAGUACCCAAAGAGGAAGGGACGGCUAACUUCGUGCCAGCAGCCGCGGUAAUACGAAGGUCCCAAGCGUUGUUCGGAAUCACUGGGCGUAAAGCGUGUGUAGGCUGCGCGGAAAGUCAAAUGUGAAAGCCCGGGGCUCAACCUCGGAACUGCAUUCGAUACUCCCGUGCUAGAGUAAUGGAGAGGUAAGUGGAAUUCCUGGUGUAGCAGUGAAAUGCGUGGAUAUCAGGAGGAACAUCAAUGGCGAAGGCAACUUACUGGACAUUUACUGACGCUCAGACACGAAGGCUAGGGUAGCGAAAGGGAUUAGAUACCCCUGUAGUCCUAGCAGUAAACGGUGCUCGCUUGGUGUGGGAGGAUUCGACCCCUUCUGUGCCGGAGCUAACGCGUUAAGCGAGCCGCCUGGGAAGUACGGUCGCAAGACUAAAACUCAAAGAAAUUGACGGGGACCCGCACAAGCGGUGGAGUAUGUGGCUUAAUUCGAUGCAACGCGAAGAACCUUACCUAGGCUUGACAUGCUUGUCGUACUCUCCCGAAAAGGAGAGGUCACUUCGGGUGGACAAUGCACAGGUGCUGCAUGGCCGUCGUCAGCUCGUGUCGUGAGAUGUUUGGUUAAGUCCAGCAACGAGCGCAACCCCUGUGAACUGUUGCCAGCGCGUAAAGGCGGGGACUCUGUUCAGACUGCCCAGAUCAACUGGGAGGAAGGUGGGGACGACGUCAGGUCAGUAUGGCCCUUACGCCUAGGGCUGCACACGUACUACAAUGCCCAGCACAAUGAGAACCGAGACCGCAAGGUGGAGGAAAUCUGCAAAACUGGGCCCAGUUCGGAUUGGAGGCUGCAACUCGCCUCCAUGAAGUCGGAAUCGCUAGUAAUGCCGUAUCAGCUACGACGGCGUGAAUACGUUCCCGGGUCUUGUACACACCGCCCGUCACAUCAUGGAAGCCGGUCGCACCCGAAGUAUAUGCGCUAACUUUAUUGAAGCAGUAUCCUAAGGUGAGGCUGGUAACUGGGAUGAAGUCGUAACAAGGUAGCCGUAGGGGAACCUGCGGCUGGAUCACCUCCUUU